rnacentral:rRNA from 1 species
AUUGAACGCUGGCGGCAGGCCUAACACAUGCAAGUCGAACGAGCGGCGGACGGGUGAGUAAUGCAUGGGCAUCUAGCUCAUAGAGGGGGAUAACUACUGGAAACUGUCGCUACUACUGCAUACUAUAGGAUGAGCCCAAGUGGGCUUAGGUAGUAGGUGAGGUAAAGGCUCACCAAGCCGACGAUCCGUAGCUGGUCCGAGAGGAUGACCAGCCACACUGGGACUGAGAAACGGACAAGACGACUAGGGGAGGCAGCAGUGGGGAAUAUUGCGCAAUGGGGGCAACCUUACGCAGCCAUGCCGCGUGAAUGAAGAAGGCCUUAGGGUUGUAAAGUACUUUCGUCAGGGAGGCGUUAACUACAGAAGAAGCACCGGCUAACUCCGUGCCAGCAGCCGCGGUAAUUC